rnacentral:rRNA from 1 species
AUUGAACGCUGGCGGCAUGCCUUACACAUGCAAGUCGAACGGUUCAAGGUCUUCGGAUGCUGACGAGUGGCGAACGGGUGAGUAAUACAUCGGAACGUGCCUAGUAGUGGGGGAUAACUACUCGAAAGAGUGGCUAAUACCGCAUGAGAUCUACGGAUGAAAGCAGGGGAUCGCAAGACCUUGUGCUACUAGAGCGGCCGAUGGCAGAUUAGGUAGUUGGUGGGAUAAAAGCUUACCAAGCCGACGAUCUGUAGCUGGUCUGAGAGGACGAUCAGCCACACUGGGACUGAGACACGGCCCAGACUCCUACGGGAGGCAGCAGUGGGGAAUUUUGGACAAUGGGCGCAAGCCUGAUCCAGCAAUGCCGCGUGCAGGAUGAAGGCCUUCGGGUUGUAAACUGCUUUUGUACGGAACGAAAAGCCCCGGGUUAAUACCCUGGGGUCAUGACGGUACCGUAAGAAUAAGCACCGGCUAACUACGUGCCAGCCGCCGCAGAA